UGCCAGCCGCCGCGGUAAUACGGAGGGUGCGAGCGUUAAUCGGAAUUACUGGGCGUAAAGCGCACGCAGGCGGUUUGUUAAGCUAGAUGUGAAAUCCCCGGGCUUAACCUGGGAACUGCAUUCGAUACUGCAUGGCUAGAGUAUGGUAGAGGGAAGUGGAAUUUCCGGUGUAGCGGUGAAAUGCGUAGAUACCGGAAGGAACACCAGUGGCGAAGGCGACUUCCUGGGCCAAUACUGACGCUGAGGUGCGAAAGCGUGGGGAGCAAACAGGAUUAGAUA
rnacentral:rRNA from 1 species